ACGGGAGGCAGCAGUGAGGAAUAUUGGUCAAUGGGCGGAAGCCUGAACCAGCCAAGUCGCGUGAAGGAUGAAGGUAUUAUGUAUUGUAAACUUCUUUAGCUGUGGAGCAAUAAUCGCCAUGCAUGGCGAGAUGAGAGUACACAGAGAAUAAGGAUCGGCUAACUCCGUGCCAGCAGCCGCGGUAAUACGGAGGAUCCGAGCGUUAUCCGGAUUUAUUGGGUUUAAAGGGUGCGCAGGCGGCUUUCUAAGUCAGUGGUUAAAUAGCGGUGCUCAACGCCGUCCCGCCAUUGAUACUGGAGAGCUUGAUUGCGGUCGAGGUUUGCGGAAUUCGUCGUGUAGCGGUGAAAUGCAUAGAUAUGACGAAGAACUCCGAUCGCGAAGGCAGGUGUCUGGAGUGCAACUGACGCUGAGGCUCGAAAGUGCGGGUAUCAAACAGGAUUAGAUACCCUGGUA
rnacentral:rRNA from 1 species